rnacentral:rRNA from 1 species
CACGCAGGCGGAUUGAUAAGUCAGGGGUGAAAUCCCGGAGCUCAACUUCGGAAUUGCCUUUGAUACUGUCUGUCUUCGAGUUCGGGAGAGGUUGGCGGAAUUCCUAGUGUAGAGGUGAAAUUCGUAGAUAUUAGGAAGAACACCAGUGGCGAAGGCGGCCAACUGGCCCGAUACUGACGCUCAUGUGCGAAAGCGUGGGGAGCAAACAGGAUUAGAUACCCUGGUAGUCCACGCUGUAAACUAUGGAUGCUAGCCGUUGGGGAGCUUGCUCUUCAGUGGCGCAGCUAACGUCUUAAGCAUCCCGCCUGAGGAGUACGGUCGCAAGAUUAAA